CAGAGUUCAGUGCCUGCCCCUCCACUCCCCUCGUGAGGAAGCUGCAGGCCGCCAUGAGGCCUCCCCCCAGUCUCUUCUUCUCUAGGCUGAACAAACCAAGUGACUUCAACUGCUCCUCGUAUGUCUUGCCCUCUAAACUCUUUCUCCGU